UCCUGCAACUGGCAGCCAUCCCCACCCCCACACAGAUCCAGUUCUGAGCCCCUCUUAAAAACGCGGCUCUGGGGCAAGCAAAGGUGGACACGACCACGAGGGAACCAGCUGCUGUGACGGCGUCAGGGAUGGGGAAAGUGGAGGAAACACUGCGGGACCCGGUGAAGAAAACUGUCCAGCAAGGGCUGAGAGGAGGAUGCAGGAGCCUCCAGGCGCACCUGGGGCAGGAAGACAUGAAUGUGUGGAGGACCACGUCCCUGGCUCUGUGGAACACAAGCCCAGAAGGAAUUUUGCUUCUCACUGAAGUGUCCUCAGUGUGUAGAGGAAGGAGCCCACUGCAGGUACUUAAUGAAUAUUUAAGGAAUGGGUGGAAAGCACGGGUUGGACCAAAACUGGGAAUUGCAGGGCAGCGAGAUCAAAGGUGGAGGACAGGGGCGACAUAAGGGAGCUGCGAGAACACAGCUGGCCUGGCUGGCAUGGAAGACAUGGAGGUAGGGCAUCAGGAGGCUGGGUAGGCUGGGGGCUGGUCAAGGGACCAGCUAGUGGAUGCAGUGGGAGGAGUGGGAGACAGGAGCUCACAGUCACAGAGGGGAUGCUGGAGUCGGACGUUCUGGAGAAAGGGAAGUAUGAGUCGAUCAAUUAUGCAUUUUCUCAGAACAGUGGUACGUUUUCCUCAUCUUUCUAUCUUCUGUGUCCAGUACUGAGUUUGGCGCAUGCCAGACACUCAAGAAUCCAUCGGUGAAUGAAGAGAUGCAAUUGACCAGACCCUGCAGGCACACAGCUUUAUCCUGGUUCCUGUAUCUCCCAGGUGCUAUAACAACAUAUUAUUCCCAUGCCUUGUUUGUCUUCCAGUCCAUGUUUCUCUCCAUUCAUCGCCGCACAGGCACCUCCCUGCCUCAUACAGGAUCUUGGGGUGAUGCAAAUCAGGCUGCCUGAACUGGAGGUAGAAACACUUCUCUGAUGUUGCCCAGAAAUCGGUGGCAGAAUCAGGACUCAGCCACUACAUUGGUACAAGAGCAGGUUCAACUAGAUGUUCCCCAAAUUCCUCUCAAUUUCUGAUACUGUAAGAUUUAAGAUUUCAGACUCGUACUAUUCUAACAAUCUCUGCAGGACUUCCUAUUUUUGAAUUUUCCCUUUCCAAUUUCUGCUGUUGUUUUCCACUACUGAAUAGCUUCCUCCUUCGUUGUUCCUACAGUCUUGUGUAGAAGAUCCAGAUUAAUUUUCUACGUGUUUCCCCAUAGCCAUGAAACCCUCUGCUACGUUGUGGAUUCCAUGCCCCCAGCACAAGCUCUGGCACAUAGUAGGCACGCAAGACAAGCUUGCUGAAUAGCACUGAGCAACGUUCAACACAGGCACAGUGAUGGAAGAGGGGAGCUGAAAGCCAGGCCUUCUGCUCCAUGGACCUGAGCUACUUCCCUCCUCUCAAGGCAGUUCAAGUCCUGCCUCUGCAGAAGCCUCCCCACUCACCCCUCGCACUAUGUUCUUUCCCAGGAGAUGGGUGGAGUAGACAGGCUCAGCUUCCCAGAAAAGCAAGGUGGAGUCUUUAGUCAGCAGCAGAGAACAGACAUAAUCCCUGGGAUUUAUGCUGGCAAGAAACCUUGCAAAAAUGCAUGACCAAAAAGAGACAAAAUGAAACAAAAAUACCCUUUCACUCUGUUUCACUGCUGGCGAACUGAAUGGAGACCAAGUCGGUCAAUUUCAACAAUUUCAAUUCCACAUUACAUGAAGGAAAGCAGAAGUCAUAUUCAAAUGACCUGGAAAUAUAGACACUUUCUACUUUUUUUCAUAGAGUUUUGAUUGUAUUCUCCUUGUCCUUGUCUCCUUCUCCCUUCUGCCUCUCUUCCCUCCCCUCCCAUCCUCCUCACUCAGUUGGGUUCCAGGCUGACAUAGUAUGUAGCAAGUGUAUGACUUAAUGCAUUUCCUGGUUCUAGAAAUCUACCAAGAAUGGUGCCAGGAGUCCAGAUCAGAGGGCCCUGCAUCAUUUACCCUUUCCUCAAGAUAAGAAAUGGCCAGUAAGGCACGACUCUCUAGUUGUUCUUUUUCUACCCAGUCUUGGACUGGGCCAUGCUUCAGAAUUAAGUAUUGAGAAAGAGAAGAAUCACAACUUGCUUUGGCAGAACUGAGUCCAAAGCUGCUAAGGGAAAUCUUGCUCUUCUGACCCUAGAUUUCAAAAGAGAAGUGACUAGAAGUUAGGGUAUAGAAAUAAGUAGAAUUGGAAGUAGGAGUGACUUUCUCCAAUAGGAAUAUUUUGCCAGACUUUGGACCAUAGAGCAGAAACCUUAUGUCUUCAUAGAACAUCGGGUAUGUAAGAAAGGGUGCCAAUUGGUGACAACUAACUGCUGGUGGCAAGGGGAGAUGUGGAGGACGAGGCCCUGGAAUAGCAACUUUGGAAUAGCCAAUGCCCUUGACCAUGGCACCAGUAGCUCAGACAUUAGAAGACAUAUGAUGAUGGUGGCCCUUUCAGCAUAGAUACCAGUGCCCCUGAUAUCUCACGUGGGCUUUGGUAGCUCAUCGAUCAAGGUGGGAGUGUGAAGUUCAUGAAUGAACUGCGCUAAAGGACACAUGGGCCCAGUGAGCUAAAAUAUAGUUAAAAACCAACAUGGCAGACAUUACCAUCACCUGUUCCUUCCAUCACCAAGAUGACUGGGGUUGUCAACUGGCAUUGGCAAUUCCCAAAAUUAGUGAGGAGGAAUAUGAGGGGCUGGAGCCCAUGCAAAAUAGACAAUGAAGUAUCCAGAGGAAUGCCACGUUUGUAUGGUACUGCCACCCUACGUUCAUGCCCACGCAGGACGGACAGAGCGCUGGAAGCACGGCUGUGCUGGUUGAUGAGGACCACAGCAGGCCGACAGGGGUUGGGUGUCCCUGCCUCCUAGGUCGAUGAGGUGCAGACGCCGGCGCGAUCCUGUGAGGCGAUUCCCAAAGACUCCACUAGAUGGCAGUGUUGGUCAGCACGUGAGUCAGCAAAGGCUUCUCGACGCCCCUUUGAUGUCAUUUCACGGAUGAGAAGAUUGGCGGGGGUGGGAUCAGGGAGGCAGGGGGACUUGGUCCAAGAUCACCCGUGACUAGAACUGUCCCAGUCUCCCUUGCCUCAGACUUCUAAAGAACAUGCAAAUGAGCUCAGAUUCCCUUUCUAGUUAUUUUUAACACCCAGUCUCUCCUUUAUCACCCAGGAAGUGCCAGCCUGAGGCACAUGGUUGUUUUGAUUGAAUAGAGAGGUCGGGGGUCUUGGGUGGUAGACACUGUGGCCCCCCAUCCCCUACAAGAUGAAGUCCAAAUGCCGUAGGAUGGCUUGUGAGAUGUUUCUCAUGCUGCAGAAUUUUCUUACCUUUAUUACAGUCUCUAUGUAAAUUGAAGCUCGUUAAAUUCUGCCACGGUGCUUUUGGGGUUCGGAAAGCCUAUGCCUCCAACAGGCAUUACUUUUUGGGGAGGCAUCCCCUGACCCAUUUAGGGAGAUUCGAUCACUGUUGAUUUUGUGCCAUUCCUUUAUGUAAUCUCUCCUGGGAAGGACGUAGGUUGGAGGUGGUAUGAUGGCCAGGCACCCGAAACACCUACACAUCCUCCCCUAACGUCCCCUGUGAAAUCAGUCAGGACUCCUGCUUGUGACAGAAUCCAAUUAAAUCUACCGUAGACAAAAAGGAAAUGCUAUUGGCUUCAGGAAGGGCACCGCUGCAGCUGGGGAAGAUUGGACGAGCAGGAUUACCUGAUCUCUCUGGAACGUUCUUGCAGACUUAUCUGUUGCUUUGGGGGUGGAAGUCUAGCGUAGGAAAGAAUGAAUGACUUUUCUCUCUCGGAUAGGGGACAGGGGUCCUGAGUGCUUUAUGCUCACCUCUCACCAACUUCACUACCAGGAAGGAAAAGGCUGUUUCCAACCAGGAUUUGGUUUAACAAUAACAAGGACUGAUACUCUGGAAAGAUGAGCACAUGAUCUAAACAGGGCCAGUCAUUGCUAUUGCUCUGAUUGGUCUGUCUUGGGUCAUGUGCCCGCCCUAUAGACUGCGACUGAGAAUCUCCAACUCAAAUUGCAUGAUUGGAGUGAGGAAGUCGAAUUUUCCAAAAGGAAGGUGCUCUUACCGAAAGAAAAAGAGAGUUGGGAGGGGAAAGGGUGCUGGGCAAGCAGCAAUGAAUGUCCAAUCUCCUGCUCCCCAGGCACCUAAAGGAUGCAUUUAUAAAAAAUAAAAGCAAUUUUUAAAAAAAAUG